rnacentral:lncRNA from 1 species
CCACGGCCUCUAAAUGAUUGGUGACUUUUAUCUUCAUUGUUGAAUGUGUUGAUAUAACUUCUUCCUCUUCCACGACCUCCACGACCACCGUGGCCUCGCCAUUUUCCAUUUCCUUUGUAACUUUUUUCACCUUCAAAUCUUUUGAAAGAUGCCUGAGUUUUAAGAAGUUCCUCUAGUGGCUCUUUUUUUCUCCUUUUAAUCUUUUCUUCGUGGGCUUAUAAAGAUUCUUCCAAUUUCUCUACUGUCAUAAAGUCUAAAUCUUUAGACUCCUCA